GGACAGUCUCGCAAUGCACCGCAGUCAAACAAUAUUCAGUCCCCUAAGAGUAUUGCACUAGAAAAAAGACAUAACUUUACAGAAGGGAAGAAUGCUUGCUACUUGCUUGACUGGGCAGAUGUAAUUGUUGCUGAAGGUCGUUGGGAUUCUAGUGAUCCAAAGAUAACUGUACAUGGAAAGCCUCUUGGACCAGACUUUAUGCGAGUAUGGGUUGAUGUUGAUAUUGUACCAGAAUCUUAGUUAUUUCAUCCUAAUCAUGCGAUGCUUACAAUACAAGAAGCAGUUGGUUCCACAGUUGCAUGGCCUUCUAAAAAAGUUAUUCCAAGAGAUGUGACAAGCGAAGUAGAAAAUGAUACUUAAGACUCCUUGAAAGUAGUAACUUUGUUUAUUUCUUUGUGUUGAAAGUAGUAACUUUUAACUAUGUUGAAUAUUUAAGACUCCUUGAAUACUUAAAGAACAUUUUGUUGUUGA